rnacentral:rRNA from 1 species
UACGGAGGGGGCUAGCGUUGUUCGGAAUUACUGGGCGUAAAGCGCACGUAGGCGGAUAUUUAAGUCAGGGGUGAAAUCCCGGGGCUCAACCCCGGAACUGCCUUUGAUGCUGGGUAUCUCGAGUCCGAGAGAGGUGAGUGGAAUUCCGAGUGUAGAGGUGAAAUUCGUAGAUAUUCGGAGGAACACCAGUGGCGAAGGCGGCUCACUGGCUCGGUACUGACGCUGAGGUGCGAAAGCGUGGGGAGCAAACAGG